rnacentral:rRNA from 1 species
UGAGGAAUAUUGGACAAUGGGCGCAAGCCUGAUCCAGCAAUGCCGCGUGCAGGAUGAAGGCCUUCGGGUUGUAAACUGCUUUUGUACGGAGCGAAAAGGUCUGCCCUAAUACGGUGGGCUCAUGACGGUACCGUAAGAAUAAGCACCGGCUAACUACGUGCCAGCAGCCGCGGUAAUACGUAGGGUGCGAGCGUUAAUCGGAAUUACUGGGUGUAAAGCGUGCGCAGGCGGUUAUAUAAGACAGAUGUGAAAUCCCCGGGCUCAACCUGGGACCUGCAUUUGUGACUGUAUAGCUAGAGUACGGUAGAGGGGGAUGGAAUUCCGCGUGUAGCAGUGAAGUGCGUAGAUAUGCGGAGGAACACCGAUGGCGAAGGCAAUCCCCUGGACCUGUACUGACGCUCAUGCACGAAAGCGUGGGGAGCAAACA